GAAUAAAUAACUCAUACCCUUGGUGACAUACCUAUAACUGUUUGCUUCGAGCGGGGUAGGGUCUCCGUGACCCUCCCGGCCUCCCGCCCCCGGGCGGGUCGGCGCCCGCCGGAGGAUAACCAAACUCUGAUUUAACGACGUUUCUUCUGAGUGGUACAAGCAAAUAAUCAAAACUUUUAACAACGGAUCUCUUGGUUCUGGCAUCGAUGAAGAACGCAGCGAAAUGCGAUAAGUAAUGUGAAUUGCAGAAUUCAGUGAAUCAUCGAAUCUUUGAACGCACAUUGCGCCCGCCAGCAUUCUGGCGGGCAUGCCUGUUCGAGCGUCAUUUCAACCCUCAAGCUCUGCUUGGUGUUGGGGCCCUACAGCUGAUGUAGGCCCUCAAAGGUAGUGGCGGACCCUCCCGGAGCCUCCUUUGCGUAGUAACUUUACGUCUCGCACUGGGAUCCGGAGGGACUCUUGCCGUAAAACCCCCAAUUUUCCAAAGGUUGACCUCGGAUCAGGUAGGAAUACCCGCUGAACUUAAGCAUAUCAAUAAGCGGAGGAA
rnacentral:rRNA from 1 species